UACGGGGGGGGCAAGCGUUGUUCGGAAUUAUUGGGCGUAAAGGGCGCGUAGGCGGUGCGGCAAGUCAUCUGUGAAAUCUCCCGGCUCAACUGGGAGUCUGCAGGCGAAACUGCCGUGCUGGAGUAUCGGAGAGGUGAGUGGAAUUCCCGGUGUAGCGGUGAGAUGCGUAGAUAUCGGGAGGAACACCUGUGGCGAAAGCGGCUCACUGGACGAUAACUGACGCUGAGGCGCGAAAGCUAGGGGAGCAAACAGG
rnacentral:rRNA from 1 species